UACGGAGGAUGCGAGCGUUAUCCGGAUUUAUUGGGUUUAAAGGGUGCGUAGGCGGGAUGCCAAGUCAGCGGUGAAAAUGCGGUGCUCAACGCCGUCGAGCCGUUGAAACUGGCGUUCUUGAGUGGGCGAGAAGUAUGCAGAAUGCGUGGUGUAGCGGUGAAAUGCAUAGAUAUCACGCAGAACUCCGAUUGCGAAGGCAGCAUACCGGCGCCCUACUGACGCUGAGGCACGAAAGCGUGGGUAUCGAACAGG
rnacentral:rRNA from 1 species